AUAUUUGCCUCAGCAGUGCAGUAACUAAAAUUGAAAUGAUACAGUAAAAAUUAACAUGGCCCCUGUGCAAGGAUAACAGGCAAAUUUGUGAAGUAUUCCAGAUAAGC